rnacentral:rRNA from 1 species
UACGUAGGUGGCAAGCGUUGUCCGGAUUUACUGGGCGUAAAGCGCGCGCAGGCGGGCUGGUCAGUCCGGGGUGAAAUCUCACGGCUCAACCGUGGGCGGUCCCCGGAUACUGCCAGUCUUGAGGUGUCUAGAGGAGAGCGGAAUUCCCGGUGUAGUGGUGGAAUGCGUAGAUAUCGGGAAGAACACCAGUGGCGAAAGCGGCUCUCUGGGGACCACCUGACGCUGAGGCGCGAAAGCGUGGGGAGCGAACCGG